rnacentral:rRNA from 1 species
UACGUAGGGGGCAAGCGUUGUCCGGAUUUAUUGGGCGUAAAGCGCGUGUAGGCGGCCAGGUAGGUCGGUUGUGAAAACUGGAGGCUUAACCUCCAGACGUCGACCGAAACCAUCUGGCUAGAGUCCGGAAGAGGAGAGUGGAAUUCCUGGUGUAGCGGUGAAAUGCGCAGAUAUCAGGAGGAACACCGGUGGCGAAGGCGGGGCUCUGGGCCGAUAUUGACGCUGAGGAGCGAAAGCGUGGGGAGCGAACAGG